GGCUAGCUGACGAGUCCCAAAUAGGACGAAACACGCGUCUUGGAU
rnacentral:hammerhead_ribozyme from 1 species